rnacentral:lncRNA from 1 species
UUUAAUUUCUUGGUACUUUAAAUACUCUAGAUCAACUCUAACGGAGCCGAUCGUCGAUUCGAAAGUCCGAACAUCGAAAACAAAGUGGAAGCACGGAGCGCUCCGUGCUUCCGAAAGCACCCCAGCCCACUCUAUAUAUAUAUAUAAUAUUUAUAAAUAUAAUGUAUUUUAAUUAUAUAUAGGCUUUAAUUUAAUUUGGGCCAUUAUUGUUGGCCCAUAAAAUAAACCCAACAAGUACAACCGUGUAAUUGAGCCCAACUCUAAAUUUACAUAACACACUCUUUUUUUCAGAUUUUCAUUAUUGCACAUAAUCCUAAAACAUGAUAACAUUCAAAUUUUCAAAUUCCUAAUUUUUUUCUCCCCCCCCCUCUCUCUCUCUCUCCUCUCUCUCUCUUUCUCUCUCUCUCUCUCUCUCUCUCAGACCCUCACCCAGUCAGGCAGUCACCCUUGCUCAUAUUUCUUGUAAUUAUUUUGUAUUUUGAACUAUUGGACAUGUUGCAUCAAAUUAUAAGUAAUGUUCUAUAAAAAUUAAACUAUUGAUUAUAUAAUGUCGAGAAUUUCAAUCGGCUCGUUUAGAGCUCGAGCUCGGCUCGACUCGAAAUUAUGCUCGCUCGAGCUCGGCUCGA